AGCGAACGCUGGCGGCAGGCCUAACACAUGCAAGUCGAACGAACCUUUCGGGGUUAGUGGCGGACGGGUGAGUAACACGUGGGAACGUGCCUUUAGGUUCGGAAUAACUCAGGGAAACUUGUGCUAAUACCGAAUGUGCCCUUCGGGGGAAAGAUCUAUCGCCUUUAGAGCGGCCCGCGUCUGAUUAGCUAGUUGGUUGAGGUAAUGGCUCACCAAGGCGACGAUCAGUAGCUGGUCUGAGAGGAUGAUCAGCCACAUUGGGACUGAGACACGGCCCAAACUCCUACGGGAGGCAGCAGUGGGGAAUCUUGCGCAAUAGGCGAAAGCCUGACGCAGCCAUGCCGCGUGAAUGAUGAAGGUCUUAGGAUUGUAAAAUUCUUUCACCGGGGACGAUAAUGACGGUACCCGGAGAAGAAGCCCCGGCUAACUUCGUG
rnacentral:rRNA from 1 species